AGAGAUAUGGGAUUAAUAUAAGAAUAUUGGUUUCUCUAGGAUUUUGUACUUGUUGUUGAUGAAUGUAUUUUUGUUUGUGGGAACCUCGUUGAGGUGGGAUUAGGAUUUCCUUGAUUCUAAGAAAUAGGCUUUGAGAUGAAUGUGUGAGUCUAUGACAAGGAAAUUAUGGAUAGUAAUAAGCUUCGAUUUAUGGUUUAGGUGUUACCAGUAUCCAAGUCUAAGCUCCUUCGACUGUAGACUCUCGGUCCCUCUGCUUUCAGUUAACAGGUUUUAUUUUGGAGUAAAGGGAGCCUUAGUCGAGUUUGGAAGGAGCUAGUUUUAGUUUUGUAUGUAUAGAUCCUAAACUAGCAUUCUAACGUUUAGCGUUAUAGUUAUUGUGUAUUGUAGGAUCAAAUGAAAGUUUUGUAUCUAAAAGUAUUAAGAGAUGUAUUAUGUAAAAGUAUGGAAAUUAAAUGACUGGUGGAUUAUGUUA